AAUGACUGCUGUGCUUCACUGCUCCUGAAGCAGUUUAAUAAGACGAAGCCCAGAGAAACAUCUCUGAAACUGAGAUGAAUCAGAACCAUGAUGUUCCUGCUGAUCACGCUGCUGCUCGCACUUCAAGGAUCAGAUGCCAGUCCAUCUGUGACUCAGACUCCUGCAUCAAAGUCUGUUCGUUCAGGGGAGACGGUCUCUCUGAGCUGUACAGCCAGUACAGGUGUUGAUAGUGAUCUCAGUUGGUACCUGCAGAAACCUGGACAGCCUCCUAAACUACUGUUUUAUCAAGUCAGCGAACGUGAAUCUGAUACUCCAAGUCACUUCAGCAGCAGUGGAUCGCAGCCUGAAUUCACUCUGACAAUCAGAGGAGUUAAAGCUGAAGAUGCAGGAGAUUACUACUGUAUGGGAGUGUAUGCUGGCCCAGUGUUCACACAGUGA